UCUAUGUCAUGGACACUGUGGAGGUUUCUGAUGUGCUGCUGUCUGCAAAUUGUUCAAAGUUUAACACGGACUGAACUUUCACUACCUAAACAAACAGCAGGGAAUAAACCAAGGGUGACUUUGCAUUAAGUGCUAUGAUUUCAAUUUGCUCUACGCGUAGGUGGAGUAGAUGGACCCUUAUCUGAUAUGAUUCAGGAGCUUUGGAAUCCAUGAUGAUAAAGGGACCCCUGAAAGAGCCUUGGGGGCCUCCAGGGUCCUUGGAUCACCUUUUGAGAACCACUGUUAAGAAUCCUGCCAUCAUUCUGUGAGAAGCCCAAACUUCAUGGAGAGGCCACAUGGAAGAAAACCAGGAUUCAGGGGACAACAGCUCCAGCUGAUUGCUGGCUAACACCCAGUCAGACUGCAGCCACAUGAGUCAUCUUGGAUGCUGUAGACUAAUUGGCCUUCCAGAUCCACUUCCAACUGAUCUCUGCAGGAAGAAACAUUCUGAGAUCAUAGAGAAGCUGGAUUCAGCCUAAAAACUGCCCCUGCCCACAGGUCCCAGAUACUAAGCCGAUGAAUGCCUUCAGUCAGAGCCAUUUACUGCUGUGUCCGUGCAUCAUCUGAAACCAUCCCAUGCGCCACACGUGUUACCAGCACUGCACGUCUCAUACCCCGCUGACACCUGUCUGCCUCUCAUGGAUCCAUCAGUUAGUAUCGUUCCCUCUGAGAGCAUAAGGUUAGUUUGAGGAACUCGAAAUGUGGUAGACGCCAACUAACUCAUUUUCUUGGCUCCCGUAUCUGCCCUCGUUAUCCCUGCUGUCACCGAAAACACGGAGCUUGCUAGGUCUUUUCCCCACUUACAAUCUGGCCGUUGCUUCCCAUUGCUCUAGGAUGGCACGGGUCAUCUUGCCAGUCUAGCUUUCCAGCCCAGUCUUCUUUCUCCCUUCUUCUAACCUUGUCCUCUUAAGACUCAGCAUCGCUGGGUUCCUGGUCACUGCCUAAAUUUGCUAGUCUUUUCCAUCCUUGUACAUGGAACACCCUCUACCUGGAAUGCCUUCACGCUUCCUAUGCUGCAAGACUCAAAUCAAACGUCAUUUCCUUUGGGAAGCCUUCUACUCCUCCCGGGAGAGUGAAACCUGCCUCUUCUGAAGUCCUACAGAAUAUUGCAUUUUUCUUGAAUUAGAAUUGCUGCCUUGCAAUCCAGUCCCUUCUUUGUAUUUACCAUGGCCACUUGGCUGUGAGUCCCUCAGGGAUGGGUAAUUUGCCAGGCAUCCCUGUCCUCGUGCCUUACCUAACAUGAAGUUUGUGGUAGGUAGAACUCUGAGAUGGCCCCAGGAUCCCUCGCCCCUGGUUAUUCCAACACUAAGCUAGGCACUACUGUGAAAAGGUUUUGCAAAUGUAACUAAAGCCUCAGAUCAGUUGACCUUAAAAUCCGGAGAUUAUGAAGAUUAUCUGGAUAGGCCUGAUCUAAUCAUGUGAGCCCUUUAAAAGCAGACAGAUUUUUCUGGCUGGUUGAAGAAGAAGUCAGAGACAUUCAAAGCAGGAGAGGGAUUUCACACAGGGGAAGUUCUCCGUGGCUGCAAUGGAGGGUCCCAUGUGGCAAGGACCCGGGAGCCACCUCUAGGAGCUGAGCGCAGGCCCUGGCUGAUAGUUAACAAGACAACGGGGACCUUAGUCCUACAGCCACAAGGAAAUGAAUUCUGCCAAGAGCCACUGAGCUCAGAAGAGCACCCUGGGACCCAGACCAGGCCUGAAGCUCUGGCUGACACCUCUUUUUUUGCCCAGUGAGAUCCCGAGCAGAAAAGUCAGUGGUUCCAUGUCCAGACUCCUGCCCUACAUGUUGUGCAGUGAUGAAUUUGUGCUGUUCUACACUGCUCAGUGUCUGGUAAUUCCUCACACGCCAAUAGAAGACUGAUAAAGAAUGGAUGCUGAGUAAAUGCUGAAUGAAUAAAUGCAUGGGAACAUGUA